rnacentral:rRNA from 1 species
UACGAAGGGGGCUAGCGUUGCUCGGAAUCACUGGGCUUAAAGGGUGCGUAGGCGGGCCCGUCAGUCAGGGGUGAAAUCCCACGGCCCAACCGUGGAAGUGCCUCUGAUACUGCGGGCCUGGAGGGGGAUAGGGGCGUGCGGAACUUCCGGUGGAGCGGUGAAAUGCGUAGAUAUCGGAAGGAACACCGGUGGCGAAAGCGGCGCGCUGGAUCCCUACUGACGCUGAGGCACGAAAGCCAGGGGAGCAAACGGG